UACGUAGGGUGCGAGCGUUGUCCGGAAUUACUGGGCGUAAAGGGCUCGUAGGCGGCCAACUAAGUCAGACGUGAAAUCCCUCGGCUUAACCGGGGAACUGCGUCUGAUACUGGAUGGCUUGAGGUUGGGAGAGGGAUGCGGAAUUCCAGGUGUAGCGGUGAAAUGCGUAGAUAUCUGGAGGAACACCGGUGGCGAAGGCGGCAUCCUGGACCAAUUCUGACGCUGAGUGAGCGAAAGCCAGGGGAGCAAACGGG
rnacentral:rRNA from 1 species